UUUCUCAGCGGCGGACGGGUGAGUAACACGUGGGCAACCUGCCCUACAGACUGGGAUAACUCCGGGAAACCGGAGCUAAUACCGGGUAAUACAUAGCAUCGCAUGAUGCAACGUUGAAAGUUGGCCUUUGGCUAACACUGUAGGAUGGGCCCGCGGCGCAUUAGCUAGUUGGUAAGGUAACGGCUUACCAAGGCCACGAUGCGUAGCCGACCUGAGAGGGUGAUCGGCCACACUGGGACUGAGACACGGCCCAGACUCCUACGGGAGGCAGCAGUAGGGAAUCUUCCGCAAUGGACGAAAGUCUGACGGAGCAACGCCGCGUGAGUGACGAAGGCCUUCGGGUCGUAAAGCUCUGUUGUUAGGGAAGAACAAGUACCGUUCGAAUAGGGCGGUACCUUGACGGUACCUAACCAGAAAGCCACGGCUAACUACGUGCCAGCAGCCGCGGUAAUACGUAGGUGGCAAGCGUUGUCCGGAAUUAUUGGGCGUAAAGCGCGCGCAGGCGGUCUCUUAAGUCUGAUGUGAAAGCCCACGGCUCAACCGUGGAGGGCCAUUGGAAACUGGGGGACUUGAGUGCAGAAGAGGAGAGUGGAAUUCCACGUGUAGCGGUGAAAUGCGUAGAUAUGUGGAGGAACACCAGUGGCGAAGGCGGCUCUCUGGUCUGUAACUGACGCUGAGGCGCGAAAGCGUGGGGAGCGAACAGGAUUAGAUACCCUGGUAGUCCACGCCGUAAACGAUGAGUGCUAGGUG
rnacentral:rRNA from 1 species